rnacentral:tRNA from 2 species
ACAAAGAAGAGCCGGG